rnacentral:rRNA from 1 species
CAGUCGCCGCGGUAAUACGGAGGGAGCUAGCGUUGUUCGGAAUUACUGGGCGUAAAGCGCACGUAGGCGGCUAUUCAAGUCAGGGGUGAAAGCCCGGGGCUCAACCCCGGAACUGCCUUUGAAACUAGAUAGCUUGAAUCUUGGAGAGGCGAGUGGAAUUCCGAGUGUAGAGGUGAAAUUCGUAGAUAUUCGGAAGAACACCAGUGGCGAAGGCGACUCGCUGGACAAGUAUUGACGCUGAGGUGCGAAGCGUGGGGAGCAAACAGGAUUAGAUACCCCCGUAGUCCCUGUCUCUUAUACA